AGCCGCUGAUCAGCUCGUGCGCGAUCAUGACGUAGAGCAGGAAGAUCAGCACGGCGGGAUCCAUGAGGACGCACGCGCUGCUGGACGAGGACCAGAGCCUGCAGGAGAACCGGUCCAGAUGAGAGAACAAGUCCAGAUGAGGGAACAGAUCCAGAUGAGAGAACAGGUCUGCGGUGCAGACCGCACAGGAUGCUGGUCCUCUGCAGUGAGGGUCUGCGGGUCCAAGUUUCACUUCAGUCUCCAGAGCUGAAGCGCAGCAACGAUUUCAAGACAACAUUCUCUGAAACCUCCGUCCCUCCAGGGAAACGAUGAUUCUGUUCCUCUGUCUGACAGCUGAUCGUGGUGACAACAGCAGAGAGGGGACAUCGGGGAUGUUGCCGUAGAGACGCCGCCGUUGCUAAGGACAUGAUGUCGUCAUCUUCCCAAAGAUGAUCGAGGCGUUUGACCUCCACGUGCAGGAAGUCAUCAUCAGUGCAAACACAUCCACCAUCUAUCCUCAGGCACAGGAUGCUUCAUCCUUUACAAUAAGCUAACACAUGUCAUACUCAAUAAUGGAGACAUUUGCAGCAGGUUAUAGGCUGGACAGAACUUUAACUUCUAAACUGAUGUAGAAUCAGGAGGCUGCCUGUUUAAAGCUUGAGUAAAGAAACCACCUGCUGAGUUCUCCCUGUAGUAACAACAUGAGUCUUUGUUUCUGGAAAUUAAACUGCUGGAACAUUCGUACAGACCCAUCGAUGGAUCCUGAAUCUCCAUGCACCAUGUUUGCCAUUUGAGGUUCAUGCCCGGUCUCAACCUAAAGAAAAUUAAACUUAUUUCUAUCCCUGGCACGUUACAAAUUCUCCUUCUGACUUCAAUCUGUCCGUCCACCGGCAGAGAGCUGCGACUCUGGAGGGAUCCUCCUUAUCUGAGGCAGCUGCACCCAGCAGGCCUUCAUCAGUGUUUCAGGCGACACAAGCAGUUCUCCUGCUGUGAUAUCCCCUUAAUUUCACAAAGCCACCUUCAGGCGGCGGGACUCCUCUCCUCCUGCCUCAAGCCACCUCCCUCUCUCUGGCACCUUCAUGGAUCUGCAGAGACACAAGAAGGAGAGUCAGAAGGCGUUUUUCGACCGGAGGAACUUUACCCUGGAACUAUGUGCGUUUCGACCGGUGGACCCAGGGUCUAAAUUCAGUUCAGGGUAUGUGAUGUGUGAGAGAUUUCCCUGUCGGGGGAUGCUGUACACUCACAUGGACAUCAUUGAAUCCGGCUGCCAUGGGAUGGUUCUGUGUUGGUGGCACUGUCACGUGGUCCUGCUGAAGUGAACACAUGAGUAAAUGAUUAAUAAUGAAAAUAAAAGUUGAUGUGACCUCA